rnacentral:rRNA from 1 species
UACAGAGGGUGCGAGCGUUAAUCGGAAUUACUGGGCGUAAAGCGUGUGUAGGUGGUUAGAUAAGUUAGAUGUGAAAUCCCCGGGCUUAACCUGGGCACUGCGUUUAAGACUGUUUAACUAGAGUACUGUAGAGGAUAGUGGAAUUUCCAGUGUAGCGGUGAAAUGCGUAGAUAUUGGAAGGAACACCAGUGGCGAAGGCGACUAUCUGGACAGAUACUGACACUGAGACACGAAAGCGUGGGGAGCAAACAGG